rnacentral:rRNA from 1 species
UACGUAGGGAGCGAGCGUUGUCCGGAAUUAUUGGGCGUAAAGAGCUCGUAGGCGGCUUGGUAAGUUGGAUGUGAAACCUCCAGGCUCAACCUGGAGUCGCCAUCCAAUACUGCCAUGGCUAGAGUCCGGUAGGGGCCCACGGAAUUCCUGGUGUAGCGGUGAAAUGCGCAGAUAUCAGGAGGAACACCGGUGGCGAAGGCGGUGGGCUGGGCCGGCACUGACGCUGAGGAGCGAAAGCGUGGGGAGCGAACAGG